rnacentral:rRNA from 1 species
AGCGAACGCUGGCGGCAGGCCUAACACAUGCAAGUCGAACGAACUCUUCGGAGUUAGUGGCGGACGGGUGGGUAACACGUGGGAACGUGCCUUUUGGUUCGGAAUAACUCAGGGAAACUUGUGCUAAUACCGAAUGUGCCCUUCGGGGGAAAGAUUUAUCGCCAUUAGAGCGGCCCGCGUCUGAUUAGCUAGUUGGUGAGGUAACGGCUCACCAAGGCGACGAUCAGUAGCUGGUCUGAGAGGAUGACCAGCCACACUGGGACUGAGACACGGCCCAGACUCCUACGGGAGGCAGCAGUGGGGAAUCUUGCGCAAUGGGCGAAAGCCUGACGCAGCCAUGCCGCGUGAAUGAUGAAGGUCUUAGGAUUGUAAAAUUCUUUCACCGGGGACGAUAAUGACGGUACCCGGAGAAGAAGCCCCGGCUAACUUCG